rnacentral:rRNA from 1 species
GACGAACGCUGGCGGCGUGCCUAACACAUGCAAGUCGAGCGAAUGAAGUUCCUUCGGGAAUGGAUUUAGCGGCGGACGGGUGAGUAACACGUGGGCAACCUGCCUCAUAGAGGGGAAUAGCCUCCCGAAAGGGAGAUUAAUACCGCAUAAUAUUGUAGUACCGCAUGAUACAGCAAUUAAAGGAGCAAUCCGCUAUGAGAUGGGCCCGCGGCGCAUUAGCUAGUUGGUGAGGUAUUGGCUCACCACGGCGACGAUGCGUAGCCGACCUGAGAGGGUGAUCGGCCACAUUGGGACUGAGACACGGCCCAGACUCCUACGGGAGGCAGCAGUGGGGAAUAUUGCACAAUGGGGGAAACCCUGAUGCAGCAACGACGCGUGAGUGAUGACGGCCUUCGGGUUGUAAAGCUCUGUCUUCAGGGACGAUAAUGACGGUACCUGAGGAGGAAGCCACGGCUAACUACGUG